GUUUUUAUAGUUUAAAUUAAAACAUUGGUCUUGUAAACCAAAAUUAAGAAAAAUUCUUUAAAAAUA
rnacentral:tRNA from 1 species